ensembl:lncRNA
GUGGCCUCCUUUGGCAAUCUCAGGUCUCUGUAAGCUCUCAAGCUGUGUCGUAAGUCCUCCCGUGGUGCUGACUCAGCUCUCCCUGUCUUUGGUGUAGGAGAGCUGGACUUCAGCUCCUUCCUGUUUCCUGCCUAUCUGCUCCCUGCUUUGCCCAUGGCCCAGUGAGCCUUUUAUUCUUCACCCCCGGACUUGCACGUGUGGAUAACAGCAUCUGCUUAUGUGCGCUUCUUUUCUGCUUGUGGUGUCAGGCUGAGCGACAGCUCCCAGCCGAGCUUGUGCUUAGCGAGACACAGAGUAGCUGGAGAUGGAGUUCUCUGUGUCACUAAAGCAUGAGCUUGAUGGCUGCCGUGAGCCAAAGCAUCAGAGUUUCUGUGUUUGAUUUCUGUGUUGGGCUGAGCGGGUAGAGCAGGGCAAGGGGGCUGAUUUGGACGUGCUGCUUUCCAAAUACGGUGCUGUUUGUGUGGCAAUGCUUCUGGCAUUCCAAAUUGUGUCAGAUGUCACUGAAUUCCUUGGAAUCUGCUGAGUUGACUUGUGCAGGUUUCAUUCUGGAGCUGAACCCUUCCUGGCCGCUUCUGUGCAUAGCCAUGGCUGUUGCUUCUUUCUUGCCUCCUUUCUUUGUUGUGUUUGGCACUGUGCAAGCCGUGAAUUGCCAGGGAGCAGCUGAAAGUGCUCUGGAGUUGUGGGGGGCAAACUGCCAAGAAACAAGGUGCAGCUUCAAAGCCCUGAAGUUUGGAGAGACGAGAGAUGCACAGCGCUCUGCCUGGUGCAGGACAUGAUGUGCUCUGCAAGGCGCUUUCCACAAAGCCCUCACGUCCUUUCUCAAACUGCAUCCAAAGCAACCCAGUGCCCUGUGCUUGUUGUACCCGGAGGUAUCGGUGCCAGGAGUUGCUGCUGUGUUUGCAAUGCCAUUGUGUCGGCAGGGUGACGUUAAUGGGCUGCAAUGCCCUCAGUCAUUCAAAGCAUCCUUGCAGAUGUUCCUAGUGAGGGGCAUGUUUCAUUGACACCAUAG